GCCCGGGUGGCGGAACGGUAGACGCAACAGACUCAAAAUCUGUCGAGGGCAACCUUAUGAGAGUUCGAUUCUCUCCCCGGGCACCA
rnacentral:tRNA from 1 species